CUGCGCCGGCCGGGCCGCGGGGAUUAGCGGCAGCGGGCGGGCGGCUGCCCCGUGUGCCGCCCCCCCACGCACCCUCCACCGCUUGCCACAGCUCCAGUGGUCCCACACUAAACUCUGCCGCUCACUGAGGGUCACAGGGACCGGCGAGCAGAGCGAGCCCCACUCCUGCCCGAUGCCCUCGACGCCCUACUGGCACACCCAGCCCCGGCUGCUGGGCAAAGGACGUGUCGCAAGCCGCUGCUAGUGGUUACUGCAGCGUGUGAAACCGAGUGCGCAGCCCAGCUCGGCACGGACCAGCUGCAUUACCGGACCGAAAUCAGCAGGUGCUGCUCCGCGGCUGGUGCCGAUGCCCUGCCCACCGUGCUCCAGCACGGCUUCUGCUUGGCACGAAGCGCGGCUUCUCGCUGGGAAGCGCGGGCAGGGUGCUGAGGCUUGGUGCAAAGGUAAUGCCAGCCGUGGGGGAGAGGCUGCCCGCCCGCUGCCGAGUCGAUCGAUUUGUAAUUAGGGAGGUGGAAAAGACUUAACCUGUAACGCAGCUGCCCCCAGAACAUCCUCCUCACCUGGGGAGGAUGCCUGGCUGUGCCGCCCUGCCGGUAAGUCCCCACGGCAAGAGCGUGGUGCCAGGGGGAUGCCAUGGCACAGCUAGCUGAGAUGGCAGAGGAGCCGCUCUCCACCUCUCCAAGAGACCUCUAGGGCUGAGUGAUCUGACCGUACACACCCAGUGUCCCCAACACACGGCAAACACCCAGUGCCACCAGCACAGCCGGCUCUGUGCCACGAUGCCCACCCAACCUCACCAGCAGCACGACCUCCACCAGCCCCUAA